AUUGAACGCUGGCGGCAUGCCUUACACAUGCAAGUCGAACGGUAACAGGUCUUCGGAUGCUGACGAGUGGCGAACGGGUGAGUAAUACAUCGGAACGUGCCUAGUAGUGGGGGAUAACUACUCGAAAGAGUGGCUAAUACCGCAUGAGAUCUACGGAUGAAAGCAGGGGAUCGCAAGACCUUGUGCUACUAGAGCGGCCGAUGGCAGGUGAGGUAGUUGGUGGGAUAAAAGCUUACCAAGCCGACGAUCUGUAGCUGGUCUGAGAGGACGAUCAGCCACACUGGGACUGAGACCAGGCCCAGACUCCUACGGGAGGCAGCAGUGGGGAAUUUUGGACAAUGGGCGCAAGCCUGAUCCAGCAAUGCCGCGUGCAGGAUGAAGGCCUUCGGGUUGUAAACUGCUUUUGUACGGAACGAAAAGCCCUGGGUUAAUACCCUGGGGUCAUGACGGUACCGUAAGAAUAAGCACCGGCUAACUACGUGCCAGCCGCCGCAGUAA
rnacentral:rRNA from 1 species